rnacentral:ncRNA from 1 species
UGAAACACAGUGAAUAGGAGAGUAAUUUUCUUAUCAUUACGCAGCGAGCCUAAGUAAGUGCAAGUUAGGCAAAUGAUAAUUAAACGAAAGUAGCCUAUGAGUGACUAGGGCGACAUUGAGGAGUCUUAGUCGGGAGCGCCCGUUACAGCGCCAACGUAUCUGAUUUAUCAUGUACGGGGUAAGGUAUCACUAGUGAUGGUGGUAUGAAUAAAGGUGGUAACACGCGCAAGCGUCCUUUUU